GAUGAACGCUAGCUACAGGCUUAACACAUGCAAGUCGAGGGGAAACGACAUCGAAAGCUUGCUUUUGAUGGGCGUCGACCGGCGCACGGGUGAGUAACGCGUAUCCAACCUGCCCACCACUUGGGGAUGACCUUGCGAAAGUAAGACUAAUACCCAAUGAUAUCUCUAGAAGACAUCUGAAAGAGAUUAAAGAUUUAUCGGUGAUGGAUGGGGAUGCGUCUGAUUAGCUUGUUGGCGGGGUAACGGCCCACCAAGGCUACGAUCAGUAGGGGUUCUGAGAGGAAGGUCCCCCACAUUGGAACUGAGACACGGUCCAAACUCCUACGGGAGGCAGCAGUGAGGAAUAUUGGUCAAUGGGCGAGAGCCUGAACCAGCCAAGUAGCGCGCAGGAUGACGGCCCUAUGGGUUGUAAACUGCUUUUAUAAGGGAAUAAAGUGAGCCUCGUGAGGCUUUUUGCAUGUACCUUAUGAAUAAGGACCGGCUAAUUCCGUGCCAGCCGCCGCCGUAA
rnacentral:rRNA from 1 species